AACCUACGGAACUUUCCCCCAUGGACGAAGUCUGACGGAGCAACGCCGCGUGAGUGAUGAAGGUUUUCGGAUCGUAAAACUCUGUUGUUAGGGAAGAACAAGUGCCGUUCGAAAGGGCGGCACCUUGACGGUACCUAACGAGAAAGCCACGGCUAACUACGUGCCAGCAGCCGCGGUAAUACGUAGGUGGCAAGCGUUGUCCGGAAUUAUUGGGCGUAAAGCGCGCGCAGGCGGUCUCUUAAGUCUGAUGUGAAAGCCCCCGGCUCAACCGGGGAGGGUCAUUGGAAACUGGGAGACUUGAGUACAGAAGAGGAGAGUGGAAUUCCACGUGUAGCGGUGAAAUGCGUAGAGAUGUGGAGGAACACCAGUGGCGAAGGCGACUCUCUGGUCUGUAACUGACGCUGAGGCGCGAAAGCGUGGGGAGCAAACAGGAUUAGAUACCCUGGUAGUCCACGCCGUAAACGAUGAGUGCUAGGUGUUAGGGGUUUCGAUGCCCUUAGUGCCGAAGUUAACACAUUAAGCACUCCGCCUGGGGAGUACGACCGCAAGGUUGAAACUCAAAGGAAUUGACGGGGGCCCGCACAAGCAGUGGAGCAUGUGGUUUAAUUCGAAGCAACGCGAAGAACCUUACCAGGUCUUGACAUCCUUUGACCACCCUAGAGAUAGGGCUUUCCCCUUCGGGGGACAAAGUGACAGGUGGUGCAUGGUUGUCGUCAGCUCGUGUCGUGAGAUGUUGGGUUAAGUCCCGCAACGAGCGCAACCCUUGACCUUAGUUGCCAGCAUUCAGUUGGGCACUCUAAAGGUGACUGCCGGUGACAAACCGGAGGAAGGUGGGGAUGACGUCAAAUCAUCAUGCCCCUUAUGACCUGGGCUACACACGUGCUACAAUGGAUGGUACAAAGGGUUGCGAAGCCGCGAGGUGAAGCCAAUCCUCAGA
rnacentral:rRNA from 1 species